GACAGGGCAGCCACCACCUCUCUGGGCAACCUGUUCCAGAGCCUCACCAUCCUUAUUGUAAAAAACUUCUUCCUUACAUCCAAUCAAAAUCUCCCUUCUUUUAUUUUGAACUGGUGUACCCUUAUCUUAUCAUGACUGAUUCUCCUAUAGAAAGCCUGUCCCCUUCUUUCUUAUAGCCCCCUUUUACAUACUGUUUUCUUACUUUAAGAUGAAAUUUCUUGUUUUUCAAUUUGUGCCCAUUGCUUCUAGCCCUGUCACCACUGAGAGAAGCCUGUUUCUCACUGCAUAUUUUUAAGGAAAGGCUGGAGCUUUAAGCAACAAGAAGUCUUCUUUGGUGUUAGUUGGGAUAGGAAAUAGCAGAUCCUCCUAAGGAUGCAGUGUGUGAUGAGUCCAUUUAAGGAGCAUGAUUUCAUAAAGAUAUACUUGCAAAGAAUUGCUGAGAUUGGAUGAAAAGGCCUGUUUCAUUUUGCUUGGAUCUGGAGCGUUCUUGGGAUGCUUUGGAACCAGUACCUAAUGGAACACAAGGUCAGGGGUUUGGCAGUUCCUCACAAAGGAUAAAACAGGAGGCACAUAUCUUCCUGUGCCUUGGAUAGUGGGAUUUCUUCCAAAACGUUUAAGUGCCAUAGAUUGUGCUCUCCUUACAAUUCAGUGUGGACAUGGUGGUGAUAGGUUGAUCAUUUGGCUUGCUAAUCUUAGAGGUCUUUUACAUCCUUAGUUAUUCUGUGUUUGUAUGAUUCUCUUCCUAGCUUAUACCACUUUAUGAAGUGGAGGAGGAUUGUGUCUCCCUUAUUUCUGAGGUGGACAUCCAAAGUCGAUAAGGAAGAGGAAAAAGUUGUUCUGAAGUUACUGCUAGGGGUGUGACGUGUGAAAAUACUGUUUGUCUGUAGAAAGCAGAACCUAGUGGUUCUACAUCAGCGCUCUUUUGACACAUCCACAAACAAUCUGCUCUACACAGGUUAGCGAUGUUUCAAGAGAAAGGCUGAAUGGUUAAAUGAGCACGGAAACAUAAGCCCAGCUCACCCUGAAGGCACAUUAUGCGUUGGCAGGGCAGGUUUCGUAAGCUCACUGUAUUGCCUGUUCUGUGAAUAAUUACCCGUGUACAGAUAAAUAGAAGUCUGCCUCUGUCCAACUCCCUUGACAAAUGACACAUUCUUUUAAAUGAAAAUCAACCAGUUGAUGAAUUUUUAAGCACUGAAGUAUAACUGCAGGCAGAGGAAUUUCUUCAAAAUAUCUUUUUCUCUCAGAUCAAGUUCAUAUAGUAGGAGAAAAUACUGUGUGACUUAUAAAAGGCAAAAGCCCUACUUAAUUUAUAUCUGAAAUUGCUUAUUUAAACUACAUAUUACAUAAAACUGGGUAGUGUCCAGUAACAUGCUUGCAGAGAAACCAAUUAGAAUUGGUUGGUAAUGACCUAGGAACCAAAAUCAAGUAAAGAAGUUAAUUCCUGUAGUGCAUUUUUAUAGCUGCGCUUAACUGGAAAAAGUCCCUGAAAUCUAUAUACAAUCACAUAGGUACCAGUUUUCCAUCUCUACUGUUUUGGGAUUGUGCUGGAUCUGGCCAGUGUCGCACACAACCCAAAGACAAACUCCUAUGCACUUCCCAAGAAAAUGUACACUGUGGCGGGUCACAGUCACAAGCACAGAUAACUGAAUGAUAAAGAGCUUUUUGGUCCCAUUAGUUUGUCAUGACUGCACAAAAUAAACAAACAAACAAAAAAAACAACCCUAAACCAAACAGCAACCCUCUCUUCAUUCAGAUUGCUGAAUGCCUCCUUUAUUGUGGGCUUGUGCAACAGUGUACAUUGGCUUAGUAGGAGCAGCAAGUGACACGGACAGGUUUGAGAGAAUGAUACUCCCUUGAAGGGAAGCAAGCAAAUCUUUUGUCUCCAGGCAAAAUGAUCAUAUUAAUUACAUCUUGAACAGGGCUGAAUAAAGCUCCUGGAGCUGAAAGACUCUUCAGAAGUUUGCUGAUCAAAAGGUAACUAACUUUAAAAUGGAGGUAAGGACACAAUAAACUGGUAUUUAUAUGAGUUUGUCUAUGUAUCCUUGUUUGGCUAUGUAACAAAAUGCUGGAUUUAAAGCAUCUGAUGGUUCAAGCAUUUUAUUAUUUCUUCUAGUUAAGAGGAUUGUAUGCAGAAACCUCGGGAGUGACUCCAACGAAGUCCUUUUGCUUACAAACACAUGGCCUUCUUGUUUGUAUCUGACUGCAUUGCAGCUCAGUGUCCCUGUUACAUUCAGAUUUUGAAAUGGGACAAAAGAUAUUAUACAUAUUUCUGAGGAUCAGAGCCUCCAUUGGGAUAAGCAGAGUGAAACUCCACAGAGCACAAGAGAAUAAAACCUUUUAAAGAAAACCGUCUGUCUGAUUCUAGACUCUUGUAUCUUUUCUACAAAUGUUUUUCUACUCUUGAAGCCUCAUUUACUCCUAUUGCUUGCUUACAUUACUUAUUAUGUUAUCCUUAACCACUUUUAAUGUCUCUGGUUCACCAUUAUAUUCCCUCUUCCUCCCCAUCCCUUAUGCUGUUCAUCUAACUGCAGUAAUUUGCCAGUUGUGGAAAACAGAUUAUAGUCACCUAAAUCCAGCUUUGAAUAAAUAGAAUUUAUUUUAAUAGAAAAUUUCAUCCACAUGAUAAUCAUUUUACUGAUACCAAAUGGGCAUUUUACUGAGCAUACAUGUUCUUACUUUUUUAUCUCUUAGAAUUUGAGGAAUGUUUUUCUUGUCUUUCACAGUGUCUUUAAACUCUUAACAAAAUUCUCCUUGAGACAAGCAGUUAUAUACAUGUGUGUAUGUUAAGAAAGACAAUACUGCUGUAUUUCUUUAUGCUGAAGAGCGACUGUGAGCUUUCAGAUUGGGUUAGUUUUAUUAUAUGAGCAAAUAAAGUAACAGAAAGAUAUAGGAAGCAGUGUUUUUAUUUUGGAAUCCACUUUGCAGCAGUGGCAAAAAAAAAACUUCUGAGCAAACUAGCAUGGUCUCUCCAUGUAAAGCUGCUGGAUGGUACAGAUUAGAGAAAACAAAGUCAGAACUCCUUGUAACUUUAUGCAACUUCAAAUUUUACUGUAUCCACAAAAAUAAAUAAAUAAAUAAAUAAAACGGAAAAAUGCCUCUGAAUUCCAUGUCUGAAAAUAGUAUUGCCAACCAAAGCUGAUGACAAGCUGCAGUAAUUUUUUUCUCUAACACAUGGAGCAUGCUUCAGUAAUACACAAUUUUGCUGAGCUCAGUGUAAGGAUAGUCAUUUGGAGCAGAUUCGGCUGAAUGUAAAAAUGGUCAUCAUGUUUUCCAAGAAUAUUUGGAAAAUAUAACCACAUAAUGAGAAACUAAUGAAGAAUAUGAAUAUUUGUACUCAAACAGAAGGAUCUAAGAUUUGUUCACAGUAAUUGUGCUUGAAUUUACGUUCCUGCUUAUUCUUAAAUUCCUAGUGCACAGAUUUAUACAUGGUAUCUUGAAACCAUACAUGGCUUUUCACAUGAUCUAAUGUUGUCAGAAGUUUCUCAGUAGCAAUAUAAGUGUUAACCUGAUACCUUAUGUUAACUUCAGGAAAAGCAUAUUUCAAAGUCUUCAGGUAAUGCAGUCUUGGCUACCUUGCAUCUUUUUUAUCUGCUGAGUUACUUAACCAUACAUUAGUUGUGGUUUCUUUGCUUGGUGUUAAAUACACUCUUCAUUUCAUUCAGUGGUUUAAUACAUUAAAAUGUAGUCUCACAGAAAUAUCUGUUUCAAAAUAAUUAAUCACACCGAAUUAAUGGUUGGCUCUUUAAAAAUAUUAACUUGACGAGAUCCUCAAGAAUUUGUCCUCAAGGUUAGUCUUUUAUGAUUUUAAAAUAUCUUAAGCUGAUUUAAAAUGUACAAUAUCUGCUAGGUAAUUUCCGGGGUCUCUUAGUUCCAGAGAAUAUAUUGGGCAUAGUAAGUGUAAGAAUGAUUAAUGUCACUGAAGGGAAACCAACAGACAUCAUCGUGAACAUCUGGCACAUGCUUCUCUUUCUUUAUCAUAACUGCAUAAUUCUGGAGUUCCAUAUUUUGUAGCAUUAUGAAGUGAGACUGUGGUCCAAGCUGCAAAAAUGCUUAAGAAGUGGCAACAUAUUGUAAAAGAGAACAGAUAGUGCUGCUCAAGUAGCAUAAGCUGUCAUAAACAAUGUUGUGGGUUGACUGUGCCAGCUGUCAGGCACCCACCCAGCUACUCUCACUCCCCUUCCCCAGUAGGAAAGGGGAGGAAAUAAGAUGAAGCACCUCUUCCCCUUCCUUCUUUGAUCUUGGAGUUUUCAGGGCUCUUCUCACACCGUUUUGCCUCACUCCUCACACUGCUGUGUGGCAUUUUGCCCUCUACAUAUGUUAUCACAGAGGUGGCACAAGGGUGGCUGCUGGGCCCAACCGUGGCCAGUGGUGAGGCCUAUGGAGCUGACUGGAACUGGCUGUGCCCUUCAUGGACAGCCCUGGCCUCCUCAAAGGCCACCCCUGCAGCCUUCCUGCUGCUGAAAUCUUGCCACGCAAAACCUAGUGCACUGCUUCAAGUUCAAUAUUGAGUUUUCUGAGCUCCGUGGAGUUCAGUUAGCUCAGCUUUAAAACAGCUCUGAAUGAGGCUCUGAAUGGGCUGAUCCCCAAACCUCUCCUAGUGAGGUGGUGGAGUCACCGUCCCUGGAGGUGUUCAGAAAUGUUUAGAUAUAGCGUUGAGAGACAUGGUUUAGUGGGGUUAUUGGUGGUAGGUGGAUGGUUGGACUAGGUGAUCUUGUAGGUCUUUUCCAACCUAGCUAAUUCUAUGAUUCUAUGAAAGACAGGUACCUGGGGGUGCCGAGUAUAGCCUAGUGCCAUGAGAUGUUUCCUAAACUGCAGAUUUAUUAUGCUUCACGUAUCAGUUGUACACUGUUAUGACAAUAAAAUUCUGCCAUACACUAAUGAGAUAUUUUCAUAAAUUACUUAAGUUGGAAAGCACAAUUUGCACAUUCUAACUUGAUAAUUUUUCCAAGAAAAUAUUUCCAAAUCCAAUAAUUGCAUUUUGCAUGGGAAAAAAAAAAGGCCCUUUCUUUUUUUGUGAAGCCUGAAAAAAAUGUCAGUUUUUCUGGAAAGCUGACAAAAAUGUGUUUCUCUCAAUUUAGUCUGCUGUCUGCAAUUCAAUUUCAUUUAGGUUUAUGGACACUUCAGGUACUUUUUUGCAUACUGGCUCUCCAGUGUUACAUUAAAAAUAUGUGUCUAAUAGACUUGUCUAUUGAAAUAUAAAGACUUUAUCAGAUAAAGGAUAAUGUAGAUUUUUUAGGCCCUGGUAACUCAUCUAAUCCUCCUCUAAUCCUGGAAGCAGAUGUUUCAGCUCUGUCUUCAAGCCAUUGUUGCAUGACCAGAGGGACAAAAAGAGACUUCAUAGCAUUCCAGCAUAAUUAGGAUUUAUUUUCACAGUUGAUAAAUGGAAACAAAAAAUCUUGAAAGUGCUUGUCUUAAGGUACAAUAAACCUAGCAACAUAGAAGUAAUUUACUGGAAAAAAACAGAACCUACUUCCAGGAUUCCUUUUCUGACUUGUUUUCUGAUAUUGCAGCACUUCACUCUCCACGUGCAAUAUCUGAUUUAUAUAAUCUAAUACAUAAUGUGUAGUUAAUAUAUGAUCAUCUAAUAAUGUGUGUCCAUCAGCCUGUGGUAUAUGCUCUUAAUGCCUCAUUUUCUUCUCAGUUUGCUUUCAUAAAAAUGUUAAUUUAGCCUGAGUUAUAACCGAGAAAUCUGUACUACCCCUUGUGAAAGUUGUAAAC